rnacentral:rRNA from 1 species
AUUGAACGCUGGCGGCAGGCCUAACACAUGCAAGUCGAACGAGUGGCGGACGGGUGAGUAAUGUUUGGGAAACUGCCCGAUGGAGGGGGAUAACUACUGGAAACGGUAGCUAAUACCGCAUACCAUCGGAUGUGCCCAGAUGGGAUUAGCUCGUAGGUGGGGUAACGGCACACCUAGGCGACGAUCCCUAGCUGGUCUGAGAGGAUGACCAGCCACAAUGGAACUGAGACCCGGUCCAGACUCCUACGGGAGGCAGCGGUGGGGAAUAUAGCACAAAGGGCGCAAGCAAGAUGCAGCCAGGCCGCGUGUAUGAAGAAGGCCUUCGGGUUGUAAAAUACUUUCAGCGAGGAGGCGUUACUCGCAGAAGAAGCACCGGCUAACUCCGUGCCUGCAACCGCGGUAAUAC